rnacentral:rRNA from 1 species
GACGAACGCUGGCGGCGUGCCUAACACAUGCAAGUCGAACGGGGAAGUUAGCAAUAACUUUCUAGUGGCGAACGGGUGAGUAACGCGUAGACAACCAACCUUUUUGUGGGGGACAACACUUCGAAAGGAGUGCUAAUACCGCAUACGCUCUUGAUGUCGCCUGGUGUUAAGAGGAAAGGAGCUUUACGGCUUCGCAGAAAGACGGGUCUGCGUCUGAUUAGCUAGUUGGAGGGGUAACGGCCCACCAAGGCGACGAUCAGUAGCCGGUCUGAGAGGAUGGACGGCCACACUGGGACUGAGACACGGCCCAGACUCCUACGGGAGGCAGCAGUGGGGAACCUUCCGCAAUGGACGAAAGUCUGACGGAGCGACGCCGCGUGAGUGAUGAAGGCCCUUGGGUCGUAAAGCUCUGUCAUCGGGGACGAACGGCUUUAUCAGGAAAUGGGUAAAGAUUGACGGUACCCGAGAAGGAAGCCACGGCUAACUACGUGCCAGCAGCCGCUGUAACAC